rnacentral:rRNA from 1 species
CCUACGGGAGGCUGCAGCGGGGAAUAUUGGACAAUGGGCGAAAGCCUGAUCCAGCCAUGCCGCGUGUGUGAAGAAGGCCUUCGGGUUGUAAAGCACUUUCAGUGGGGAAGAAAGCCUUGGGGCUAAUACCCUCGAGGAAGGACAUCACCCACAGAAGAAGCACCGGCUAACUCCGUGCCAGCAGCCGCGGUAAUACGGAGGGUGCGAGCGUUAAUCGGAAUUACUGGGCGUAAAGCGCGCGUAGGCGGUCUGAUAAGCCGGUUGUGAAAGCCCCGGGCUCAACCUGGGAACGGCAUCCGGAACUGUCAGGCUAGAGUGCAGGAGAGGAAGGUAGAAUUCCCGGUGUAGCGGUGAAAUGCGUAGAGAUCGGGAGGAAUACCAGUGGCGAAGGCGGCCUUCUGGACUGACACUGACGCUGAGGUGCGAAAGCGUGGGUAGCAAACAGGAUUAGAUACCCUAGUAGUC